rnacentral:rRNA from 1 species
UACGUAUGGUGCAAGCGUUAUCCGGAUUUACUGGGUGUAAAGGGAGCGUAGGCGGCGCGUUAAGUCUGAUGUGAAAACCCGAGGCUCGACCACGGGAGUGCAUUGGAAACUGGCGGGCUGGAGUGCCGGAGAGGUAAGCGGAAUUCCUAGUGUAGCGGUGAAAUGCGUAGAUAUUAGGAGGAACACCAGUGGCGAAGGCGGCUUACUGGACAGUAACUGACGUUGAGGCUCGAAAGCGUGGGGAGCAAACAGG